rnacentral:rRNA from 1 species
AUUGAACGCUGGCGGCAGGCCUAACACAUGCAAGUCGAACGAGUGGCGGACGGGUGAGUAAUGUCUGGGAAACUGCCUGAUGGAGGGGGAUAACUACUGGAAACGGUAGCUAAUACCGCAUACCAUCAGAUGUGCCCAGAUGGCAUUAGCUUGUUGGUGGGGUAACGGCUCACCAAGGCGACGAUCCCUAGCUGGUCUGAGAGGAUGACCAGCCACACUGGACCUGAGACACGGGCCAGAAUCCUACGGGAGGCAGCAGUGGGGAAUAGUGCACAAUGGGCGCAAGCCUGAUGCAGCCAUGCCGCGUGUAUGAAGAAGGCCUUCGGGUUGUAAAGUACUUUAAGCGGGGAGGCCGUAACGGAAGAAGAAGCACCGGCUAACUCCGUGCCAGCAGCCGCGGUAAUAG